rnacentral:lncRNA from 1 species
UUAGCACAUGACAUGCUUACCGUGUUCUAAAACAGCAUAAUAAUUGGAGCAUUUUUACUUCAAAAUGGAUCAGAGUGGUCAAGAAAUAGAGUAAAUGAAACCAGCUAUCAGCCGGGUGCAGUGGCUUACACCUGUAAUCCCAACAUUUUGGGAGGCAGAGACAGGAAGAUUGCUUAGCUUAGGAGUUCAAUACUAGCCUGGGCAACAUGGCAAAAUCCCAUCUCUACCAAAAAUACUAUAUAUAUAUAUGAAAAAAAUGAGACCAGUUAUUAGCAAUGGCAGGACUCUGAUUAGGUCAUUGAGCUGAAGUUCUCAAAUGCUGUGGGGAAAGGAAUCACCUGUGGGAGCUUGUCAGAAAUACAGAUCCCUGGGCCCCACUCCAGGGAAUUCUGAGUUGAUUUAUGGUAACUCGUAGGAAUCAUCUUGAAUUUCAAAGCACCCAGAUGAUUCUGAUGCAUCAAGAUUUGAGACACGUGGCUGGAGGGAUAAUGCACUUUGCUUCCGGAAGGGUUGAAAAAGGCAUUUAAUUAUCCCUUGAAACCUAGCUGAUUCUAUAGAGAGGCUCCAGGAAGUCUUGAAGAAAACUUUGCAGAGGAUGACACUUGAAGAUGAGUUGAUGGAAUGGGCUGAACUUAAAGGAGCACGCUGGUGGAUGCAAGGAUGUCAGGGCUGGUGAAAUCACUGCCAGUUCAACCUUUUCCCAUGUUGAUCCAGCUUGUCAUUAUAAAACAUGAGAGGUACAACUUGAGGAUAAGUGGUCAGAAGAUGUAAAAAGAAUAUGACAACAAAUAAAGAAAAAAAACAUGAGAGAAUCUGCUUUUUGAAAAGAGAUUCUAGGCACCUUUAGCUCUCUAAAAAGAUAAAAACAACAACCAUUGUAUUUUCAAAUCGUUCUUAUUCAUCAAAAUUGAGAAAAAAAU